rnacentral:rRNA from 1 species
UGGGGAAUAUUGGACAAUGGGCGAAAGCCUGAUCCAGCCAUGCCGCGUGUGUGAAGAAGGCCUUUUGGUUGUAAAGCACUUUAAGCGAGGAGGAGGCUACUUGGAUUAAUACUCUAGGAUAGUGGACGUUACUCGCAGAAUAAGCACCGGCUAACUCUGUGCCAGCAGCCGCGGUAAUACAGAGGGUGCGAGCGUUAAUCGGAUUUACUGGGCGUAAAGCGUGCGUAGGCGGCUUUUUAAGUCGGAUGUGAAAUCCCUGAGCUUAACUUAGGAAUUGCAUUAGAUACUGGGAAGCUAGAGUAUGGGAGAGGAUGGUAGAAUUCCAGGUGUAGCGGUGAAAUGCGUAGAGAUCUGGAGGAAUACCGAUGGCGAAGGCAGCCAUCUGGCCUAAUACUGACGCUGAGGUACGAAAGCAUGGGGAGCAAACAGG